rnacentral:rRNA from 1 species
GACAGAGGGUGCAAACGUUGCUCGGAAUCACUGGGCGUAAAGGGUGCGUAGGCGGGUCUUUAAGUCAGGGGUGAAAUCCUGGAGCUCAACUCCAGAACUGCCUUUGAUACUGAAGAUCUUGAGUUCGGGAGAGGUGAGUGGAACUGCGAGUGUAGAGGUGAAAUUCGUAGAUAUUCGCAAGAACACCAGUGGCGAAGGCGGCUCACCUGGCCCGAUACUGACGCCUGAGGCACGAAAGCGUGGGAAGCAAACAGGG